CCGUGCUAAGCGGGGAGGUAGCGGUGCCCUGUACCCGCAAUCCGCUCUAGCGGGGCUGAAUCCCUUCUCGAGGUUCGUUUACUUUAAGGUCUGCCUUAAGUAAGUGGUGUUGACGUUUGGGUCCUGCGCAAUGGGAAUUCAUGAACCAUGUCAGGUCCGGAAGGAAGCAGCAUUAAGUGAAACCUCUCAUGUGCCGCAGGGUUGCCUGGGCCGAGCUAACUGCUUAAGUAACGCUUAGGGUAGCGAAUCGACAGAAGGUGCACGG
rnacentral:SRP_RNA from 1 species